rnacentral:rRNA from 1 species
UGGGGAAUAUUGCACAAUGGGCGCAAGCCUGAUGCAGCAACGCCGCGUGUGGGAUGACGGCCUUCGGGUUGUAAACCACUUUCAGCUAGGACGAAGCGCAAGUGACGGUACUAGCAGAAGAAGCACCGGCCAACUACGUGCCAGCAGCCGCGGUGAUACGUAGGGUGCGAGCGUUGUCCGGAAUUAUUGGGCGUAAAGGGCUCGUAGGCGGUUCAUCACGUCGGAAGUGAAACUCGGGGCUUAACCCCGAGCCUGCUUCCGAUACGGGUGAACUAGAGGUAUGCAGGGGAGAAUGGAACACCUGGUGGAGCGGUGGAAUGCGCAGAUAUCAGGUAGAACACCAGUGGCGAAGGCGGUUCUCUGGGCAUUACCUGACGCUGAGGAGCGAAAGCGUGGGGAGCAAACAGGCUUAGAUACCCUGGUAGUCCACGCCGUAAACGGUGGGCACUAGGUGUGGGACUCAUUCCACGAGUUCCGUGCCGAAGCUAACGCAUUAAGUGCCCCGCCU